rnacentral:rRNA from 1 species
UGCGAGUCAUUGUAGCAAUACAAGGCAGACGGCUCAGUAACGCGUAGUCAAUCUACCCUAUGGACGGGAAUAACCUCGGGAAACUGAGAAUAAUGCCCGACAGAACAUUAUACCUGGAACGGUUUAUGUUUCAAAUGAUUUAUCGCCGUAGGAUGGGACUGCGGCCUAUCAGUUUGUUGGUGAGGUAAUGGCCCACCAAGACUAUUACAGGUACGGGCUCUGAGAGGAGUAGCCCGGAGAUGGGUACUGAGACACGGACCCAGGCCCUAUGGGGCGCAGCAGGCGAGAAAACUUUGCAAUGUGCGAAAGCACGACAAGGUUAAUCCGAGUGGUUUCUGCUAAAGAAACCUUUUGCUAGUCCUAGAAACACUAGUGAAUAAGGGGUGGGCAAGUUCUGGUGUCAGCCGCCGCGGUAAAACCAGCACCUCAAGUGGUCAGGAUGAUUAUUGGGCCUAAAGCAUCCGUAGCUCGUUUUGUAAGUUUUCGGUUAAAUCCAUACGCUUAACGUAUGGGCUGCCGGGAAUACUGCAUAACUAGGAAGUGGGAGAGGUAGACGGUACUCGGUAGGAAGGGGUAAAAUCCUUUGAUCUAUUGAUGACCACCUGUGGCGAAGGCGGUCUACCAGAACACGUUCGACGGUGAGGGAUGAAAGCUGGGGGAGCAAACCGGAUUAGAUACCCGGGUAGUCCCAGCUGUAAACUAUGCAAACUCAGUGAUGCAUUGGCUUGUGGCCAAUGCRGUGCUGCAGGGAAGCCGUUAAGUUUGCCGCCUGGGAAGUACGUACGCAAGUAUGAAACUUAAAGGAAUUGGCGGGGGAGCACCACAAGGG